AAUGUGGACCCCAUUUAAAGAAAAAAUUUAUCAGCACUUCCUAAACUCACAGCUUCAUCUGCAUCAUCCUCUCACAUCGUAGACAAAACUUCAAGCUGUUUUGCCCAAUAGUUGUGGCAUUGGACCUAUGGUUACAGGUUUGUUCUUGCCUGAAAGAUGUUUACACCUUUGAACACUUGACGGUGUUGUUGCGUCAUGAAAUUGUAUUGCUGCCAUUCCCUGUAUCUCCCACUUCACAGAGCUCUGCAAGAAAUGAGUAAUAGGAAGCCUACAACAGAUUGAGGAAUUAAACAAUUAAUAGGUUCCGUGAUAUGCCAUUGGAUUUCGCGAGUAGCCGCCAAUGUCAAACUACAACGCAGUUUCUUUAUUGGAAUUGUGUGGUCCUGGCACAGAAAUCCUUGAUGCUGGCCUUUGUUCAUAACAGAAGAGUGACUUCUACCACUUUUCUGCUCCAUCCUAAUCUUCGCUACCCACACUCAUCUAGCUUCUCUGCAUAUUAUGCUGCUAAACAAUUUGCCGUACUUCACUGACGAGUUAGACUAGUCGCUUCCGUCCGCAGCGACACAUGUACUGUCACUUACCACGGGAUUAUGCCCAGAUACGGAGUCAGUAGUUCAGUAAAUAUUCAUUCGAC
rnacentral:lncRNA from 1 species